GACGAACGCUGGCGGCGUGCUUAACACAUGCAAGUCGAACGGAAAGGCCCUGCUUUUGUGGGGUGCUCGAGUGGCGAACGGGUGAGUAACACGUGAGUAACCUGCCCUUGACUUUGGGAUAACUUCAGGAAACUGGGGCUAAUACCGGAUAGGAGCUCCUGCUGCAUGGUGGGGGUUGGAAAGUUUCGGCGGUUGGGGAUGGACUCGCGGCUUAUCAGCUUGUUGGUGGGGUAGUGGCUUACCAAGGCUUUGACGGGUAGCCGGCCUGAGAGGGUGACCGGCGACAUUGGGACUGAGAUACGGAGCAGACUCCUACGGGAGGCAGCAGUGGGGAAUAUUGCACAAUGGGCGGAAGUCUGAUGCAGCAACGCCGCGUGCGGGAUGACGGCCUUCGGGUUGUGAACCGCUUUCGCCUGUGACGAAGCGUGAGUGACGGUAAUGGGUAAAGAAGCACCGGCUAACUACGUG
rnacentral:rRNA from 1 species